rnacentral:rRNA from 1 species
GAAUGCUGACAUAAGUAACGAUAAAGCGGGUGAAAAGCCCGCUCGCCGGAAGACCAAGGGUUCCUGUCCAACGUUAAUCGGGGCAGGGUGAGUCGACCCCUAAGGCGAGGCCGAAAGGCGUAGUCGAUGGGAAACGGGUUAAUAUUCCCGUACUUGGUGUUACUGCGAAGGGGGGACGGAGAAGGCUAUGUUGGCCGGGCGACGGUUGUCCCGGUUUAAGCGUGUAGGCUGGUUUUCCAGGCAAAUCCGGAAAAUCAAGGCUGAGGCGUGACGACGAGGCACCACGGUGCUGAAGCAACAAAUGCCCUGCUUCCAGGAAAAGCCUCUAAGCGUCAGGUAACAUCAAAUCGUACCCCAAACCGACACAGGUGGUCAGGUAGAGAAUACCAAGGCGCUUGAGAGAACUCGGGUGAAGGAACUAGGCAAAAUGGUGCCGUAACUUCGGGAGAAGGCACGCUGACAUGUAGGUGAAGCGGUUUACCCGUGGAGCUGAAGUCAGUCGAAGAUACCAGCUGGCUGCAACUGUUUAUUAAAAACACAGCACUGUGCAAACACGAAAGUGGACGUAUACGGUGUGACGCCUGCCCGGUGCCGGAA